GAUGAACGCUGGCGGCGUGCUUAACACAUGCAAGUCGAACGAGAAAUGUAGACGGAAACCUUCGGGCGGAAGCCUUCAUUUCGAGUGGCGGACGGGUGAGUAACGCGUGGGUAACCUGCCUCAUACAGGGGGAUAACAGUUGGAAACGACUGUUAAUACCGCAUAAGACCACAGCAUCGCAUGAUGCGGGGGUAAAAACUCUGGUGGUAUGAGAUGGACCCGCGUUCGAUUAGCCAGUUGGCGGGGUAACGGCCCACCAAAGCGACGAUCGAUAGCCGAUCUGAGAGGAUGACCGGCCACAUUGGGACUGAGACACGGCCCAAACUCCUACGGGAGGCAGCAGUGGGGAAUAUUGCACAAUGGGGGAAACCCUGAUGCAGCGACGCCGCGUGAGUGAAGAAGUACUUCGGUAUGUAAAGCUCUAUCAGCAGGGAAGAAAAUGACGGUACCUGAGUAAGAAGCCCCGGCUAACUACGUG
rnacentral:rRNA from 1 species